rnacentral:lncRNA from 10 species
GGAAUGUGAAGCGUUUUACAGCACCAGUGACUCAUUGCUGAUGUUACUGCUAGAACAGUGGUUCUUGGCCGGGCACGGUGGCUCAUGCAUGUAAUCCCAGCACUUUGGGAGGCUGAGGUGAGUGGAUCACCUGAGGUCUUGAGUUCAAGACCAGCCUGGCCAACACGGCAAAUCCCCUUCUCUACCAAAAAUACAAAAAUUAGCUGCGCAUAGUGGCACAUGCCUGUAAUCCCACCUACGAGGGGCGCUGAGGCAGGAGGAUUGCUUGAACCUGGGAGGCAGAGGUUGCAGUGAGCCGAGGUCAUGCCACUGCACUCCAGCCUGGUCAACAGAGCAAGAAGACUCUCUCAAAAAAACAAACAACAACAACAACACAAAAACGUGGUUCUCAAAUUUUGGUCCCCAGACAACCAGCAGCAGCAGCACCUGGGAACUUGUUGAAAUGAGAAUUCCUGGGACUUGCCCCAGCCAGUCUGAGUCAGAGAAUCUGGGGGAUGAGGCCAAGCAAUCUGUUUUGAACAGUCCCCAGGUGAUUCUGAUGCACACUAAAGAAGCUUGGAAAGAAUGUGCUGGAGAAAAAGGAUUAUCAUCUUACCCAUCUGAAAGUAUAUCUGAAGAAGCUGCCGUCUUUCCACACUUCUAUUUACAGCCAAUCCUUGAUCUCAUUAUGCUGUUAUAAGACCGGUCCCUGUCUGGGGUCUUGCUCUGUCACCAGCUUGCAAUGCAGUGGCACAAUCAUGGCUCACGAUGGCCUCAACCUCUUGGACUCAAGCCAUCCUCCCACCUCAGCCUCCAGAGUAGCUGGGACUAUAAGCGCAUGCCACCAUGCGCAGCUAAUUUUUGUAUUUUUUAUAGAGACAGGGUCUAAGUUGCCCUGGCAGGUCUCAAACUCUUGGGUUCAAAUUAUCCUCCCCCUUAGACUUCCCAAAUAGCUGGGAUUAAAGGUGCAAGCCACCAUGCCUGGUGGCUUAUGCUUAGUUUAUGCUUAUACAAACAUAUCUAUAUAUGUAUCUAUACAAGUUUGUAUCAUUUCCUCCCUUUUAGUAGAAAUUGUAGCAUACUAUUAGGUAAUUGUUUUGUGUUAAAAAAUGCACAUGACAUAGAUUGAAGAUCAUCUCAUAAAAGUACAAAGAGCUUUCUCAGUCUUUUUAAAAGCUUUCAUAAGAUUUCAUUUUAUGCCUAUAUCAUGAUUUAUCAGUCCUUUACUAAAGAAUAUUUGUAUUUGAAAUAUAUCUUAUUAUAAACAAUGCUGAAAUAAACAAGGUUGUAGAUACAUACCAUUUCUCCUGUGUGUUGUAAGAUAAACUCUUUUUUUUUUUUUGAGACAGAGUCGCGGUGCGUUGCCCAGGCUGGAGUGCAGUGUCACAAUCUCGGCUCACUGCAAACUUCGCUUUCCAGGUUCAAGGGAUUCUCCUGCCUCAGCCUCCCAAGUAGCUGGGAUUACAGGCGCCUGCUAUCAUGUCUGGCUAAUUUUUGUAUUUUUAGUUGAGACAGGGUUUCACCAUGUUGGCCAGGCUGGUCUCCAACUCCUGACCUCAGGUGAUCUGCCCGCCUCGGCCUCCCCAAGUGCUGGGAUUGCAGGCAUGAGUCACCGUGCCACCACGCAGGGCCAAGAUAAACUCUUAUACGUAUAGUUGCAAUAUUGUUAGGUAUCCUGACCUUCCCCCUAGGGAGGUCAUUAUAAUUUACAUUUACAUUUUCAUUGUGACUGCUAGUCUACACUUUUACCAACACUGUGAUUAUCAAACUUUCUAAUCUUUGACAAUCUGAUAAGUGAAAAAAUGGUUUCUCAAUACAGUUGCAAUUUGCAUUUUCUUAUGGAGGAAAAAAAAUUGAGCCAACUUUUUUUUUUUUUUUUAGAAUAAAGAGCCACAAAGUUAUGUGAGUUAUUAUUUUAUCCUUAAUAUUGCUCCUGGAGUCUGUAGCAGGUCAGCAUCAGAGUUCAGAGAUCAGGAACAUGGCAACAUGCCCAGAACCAAGAUGAAAAGAAAAGCCAAUAGGCCCCAUUUCAUGAAUAUUUGCCUUGAGGAGUCCCUGAAGAUGUCCCUAGAAGUUAACUUCUGUUUUUAUGUGGAGACAAUUAGAAGCUAAGUUUCAGAUUCCCCAAUGCCUGCGUAAGUAGCUCUAAUUACUUAGCAGAGCAUUGUAUGUUUCCCCCCUUCAAACCACCUGACACAAAAAUGAAGUAAAACAGGUUCUAUAUUUAUAGAUAUAACUAAGCCACACAAUAGGAUUGUGGGGUUUAGACCAAAUCAUCUAGGUCACAUCAGGGUUAUAAAGAUUAAAUGAUAUGUUUCACACAAGAACUAUUCUGCUUAGGGAUGGAGGCUUGUUGCUAAUUAGCAUAAUUGCCUCGUGACUUGCGGAAACUAUGUCAGCGUUUUGUUUUGUUUUUGUGUGCUUUUUCAGAGGGAGACUCAUCUGGUGGUGUUAAAUACUAUAUCUAUUUAAAAUUAAUCACAUGCCUUUCCUAACAACACGGAUCAUGCUAGUUGCAUCUAUCUUUACAACAGGGAUUUCUGAAGCAAAUGAGAGGUGUCAUUAUGUAAUGGAAUUAAAAGAGAAGAUUAGGAGUUAGGCUGGCUGGGUUUGCACUUGCCCUCACUGGCUGUGUGACCUUGCGCUAGUCACUUGACCUUUCUGAGCUUCAAUUCCUCAUUUGAAUAAUGGAGAUAAUCUGACCUAUAUACCCCUGGGUUUUGUAGUCAGGAAAUAAUGGAUCAUUGUACAUAUGAAAAGUCUUUACAACUAUCAAUGGCAAGACAUCUGUCAGUUAUUCUAAUAUUCAUGGUAUAGAAAACUGUGAAAUACAGAGUCCUUACGUCUAUUCUCCAAAAAAGUUCACUUCUCUUUAAAAGCUUUUAGCAAACCACAAUCCAGGUAAUUAAAAAGGAAAUAUUAAAAUUUUGUUCUCAGGUUGUCUGACAUUUCACGGUUCAGCAAUGUGACAUCUCUCACAGGCAGAAUAGCAUCUUCGGACAAGUUUUCUAUUAAAAAUAUGCUUUAUAGAAGAAAAUAUUUUACGGACCUAGAAGACAGCUGUCGAUGAAAUUUGCUCAGUUUAGCAAACAGCAAGGACUGUGUUUGUGUUUAGAGAAAAGUAGGUCGAGCCUAGUUUAUCUCCCUGGGGUUCUAGACUCCUUUCCACGUUGUAUCUCAAGCUCUAAUAGCUGGAAAGCUACUUUCUUUAACCUUUAAUACACACUUGCUAGUAAACUUGCUAGAAGCAUGAAGAUAAUACAGACUGCGAAUCAGCCCUUCUAAGAGACAAUCACGACUCCUUCCUUGCAAGCUUCCGCCCUGAUAAUUCUGCAACCUUCCCACCUUCUAUACGCCCCGCGGUGCGAGGCCCCUCGGCCUGCAGGUGGCCAGAGGCAAGCAGGAGUCAGAUCCCCCACCUACCGCGGCCCGGCCUGGGCCCUAGCGCUGGGUGCGGCGGAG